CCGAAUCGGUGAAAAGCGUGUCACAUUACACGCAUGUCAAGACGACUACUCACCCGCCGAAGCCCUUAAUUUUGUUUGUUUUAGCACUGGCAGCUCACGGGCUCAUCCAUUUUACCAUUUGGUGGGCUCCGC
ensembl:ncRNA R07G3.15 ncRNA